rnacentral:lncRNA from 1 species
AAAAAAAUAUCAAAACACGAACAAACAUCUACCAUAUGAUUAGGUUGACUGCGUUGUACACCAAGCAACUACUCACACAAAACCAGAAUCUUUUCACAACUGUCACCUAACACAAGCAAAAGACUAAGCUUUGAAUCAACCUAUACCACAAGUGUCACUUAACACAAGCAAAAGACUAAGCUUUGAAUCAACCUAUACAUAACAACAUCACAAAGUUCGGUCUUAUAAAUCACUAUCCCUUCCUUAAACUCCACUGUCGUAAAAGAUUCUCGCAUAAAAUUAAGUUACCACC